rfam:Domibacillus antri strain XD80 WGS_contig_9, whole genome shotgun sequence.
UGACAGCGAUGAUGCGGAAGGUUGCUGACACACCCGGCCGCUUUGCCAUGGCGGUGAUGUCAGGUAAAAUUUUCGCGGAGUAUGUCUAUUAGCUAAAUAGGCGAUAA